rnacentral:tRNA from 1 species
GCGGAUGUGGUGGAAUUGGUAGACACGCCAGACUUAGGAUCUGGUGCCGCAAGGCGUGGAGGUUCAAGUCCUCUCAUCCGCACCA